rnacentral:rRNA from 1 species
GAUGAACGCUGGCGGCGUGCCUAAUACAUGCAAGUCGAGCGAACAGACGAGGAGCUUGCUCCUCUGACGUUAGCGGCGGACGGGUGAGUAACACGUGGAUAACCUACCUAUAAAACUGGGAUAACUUCGGGAAACCGGCGCUAAUACCGGAUAAUAUAUUGAACCGCAUGGUUCAAUAGUGAAAGCCGGUUUUGCUGUCACUUAUCGAUGGAUCCGCGCCGCAUUAGCUAGUUGGUAAGGUAACGGCUUACCAAGGCAACGAUACGUAGCCGACCUGAGAGGGUGAUCGGCCACACUGGAACUGAGACACGGUCCAGACUCCUACGGGAGGCAGCAGUAGGGAAUCUUCCGCAAUGGGCGAAAGCCUGACGGAGCAACGCCGCGUGAGUGAUGAAGGUCUUCGGAUCGUAAAACUCUGUUAUUAGGGAAGAACAAAUGUGUAAGUAACUAUGCACGUCUUGACGGUACCUAAUCAGAAAGCCACGGCUAACUACGUG